UCCGUAGGGUGCAAGCGUUAAUCGGAAUUACUGGGCGUAAUGCGUGCGCAGGCGGUUUUGUAAGUCUGACGUGAAAUCCCCGGGCUCAACCUGGGAAUUGCGUUGGAGACUGCAAGGCUAGAAUCUGGCAGAGGGGGGUAGAAUUCCACGUGUAGCAGUGAAAUGCGUAGAGAUGUGGAGGAACACCGAUGGCGAAGGCAGCCCCCUGGGUCAAGAUUGACGCUCAUGCACGAAAGCGUGGGGAGCAAACAGG
rnacentral:rRNA from 1 species